rnacentral:rRNA from 1 species
UACGGGGGGGGCAAGCGUUGUCCGGAAUUAUUGGGCGUAAAGGGUUCGUAGGCGGCUUGCUAAGUCAGAUGUGAAAUCCCUCGGCUCAACCGGGGAACUGCGUCUGAGACUGGCGAGCUUGAGUGCAGGAGAGGAACGCAGAAUUCCAGGUGUAGCGGUGAAAUGCGUAGAUAUCUGGAGGAAUACCGGUGGCGAAGGCGGCGUUCUGGACUGCAACUGACACUGAGGAGCGAAAGCCAGGGGAGCAAACGGG